GAUGAACGCUAGCGGCAGGCCUAACACAUGCAAGUCGAGGGAGAGGUUACCUUCGGGUAACCAAAACCGGCGCACGGGUGCGUAACGCGUAUACAAUCUGCCUUUCACAUAGGGAUAGCCCGAAGAACUUUGGAUUAAUACCUAAUGGUAUAUAAGAGCGGCAUCGUUUUUAUAUUAAAGCUACGGUGGUGAAAGAUGAGUAUGCGUUCUAUUAGCUAGUUGGAGAGGUAACGGCUCCCCAAGGCGACGAUAGAUAGGGGUUCUGAGAGGGAUGUCCCCCACACUGGUACUGAGAUACGGACCAGACUCCUACGGGAGGCAGCAGUGAGGAAUAUUGGACAAUGGUCGGAAGACUGAUCCAGCCAUGCCGCGUGCAGGAUGAAGGUCCUAUGGAUUGUAAACUGCUUUUGUAAGGGAAGAAUAAGGAGUACGUGUACUUUGAUGACGGUACCUUACGAAUAAGCAUCGGCUAACUCCGUG
rnacentral:rRNA from 1 species